CAGGAGUGGAGCCUGCGGCUUAAUUUGACUCAACACGGGAAACCUCACCCGGCCCGGACACGGACAGGAUUGACAGAUUGAUAGCUCUUUCUCGAUUCCGUGGGUGGUGGUGCAUGGCCGUUCUUAGUUGGUGGAGCGAUUUGUCUGGUUAAUUCCGAUAACGAACGAGACUCUGGCAUGCUAACUAGUUACGCGACCCCCGAGCGGUCGGCGUCCCCCAACUUCUUAGAGGGACAAGUGGCGUUCAGCCACCCGAGAUUGAGCAAUAACAGGUCUGUGAUGCCCUUAGAUGUCCGGGGCUGCACGCGCGCUACACUGACUGGCUCAGCGUGUGCCUACCCUACGCCGGCAGGCGCGGGUAACCCGUUGAACCCCAUUCGUGAUGGGGAUCGGGGAUUGCAAUUAUUCCCCAUGAACGAGGAAUUCCCAGUAAGUGCGGGUCAUAAGCUUGCGUUGAUUAAGUCCCUGCCCUUUG
rnacentral:rRNA from 1 species